CCUACGGGAGGCAGCAGUGGGGAAUAUUGCGCAAUGGGCGAAAGCCUGACGCAGCGACGCCGCGUGAGGGAUGAAGGUCUUCGGAUCAGAAACCUCUGUCAGCAGGGAAGAACGGUCACUGUGCUAAUCAGCAGUGAAUUGACGGUACCUGCAAAGGAAGCACCGGCUAACUCCGUGCCAGCAGCCGCGGUAAUACGUAGGGUGCGAGCGUUAAUCGGAAUUACUGGGCGGAAAGCGCUCGUAAGCGGUAUGUCAAGUCAAGGGUGAAAUCCCCGCGCUCAACGUGGGAACUGCCGUUGAAACUGGCAAACUGGAGUGUGUGAGAGGAGAGUGGAAGUCCAGGUGUAGGAGUGAAAUCCGUAGAUAUCUGGAGGAACAUCAGUGGCGAAGGCGACUAUCUGGCACAUAACUGACGCUGAGGAGCGAAAGCGUGGGUAGCAAACAGGAUUAGAUACCCGUGUAGUC
rnacentral:rRNA from 1 species